AAUCAUCGAUUUACACAUAUCGCUGCCAAAUAACCAUAAAAUGUGUCUGGUAUAUAGAGGGGGGCCUCUGGUAUAUAAAAUAGUAUGAAGUAUAUGCAUGUGUAUGCAGUAUAUAAUAUAAUACAGAUGUAUAUGCACAUAUAUAUAUGUAUAUUAUACAUUAUAUGUGUAUGUUUUGUAUAUUCAUAUGAUAUGUCUGAUCAUCAUAUACAAGACAUAAUAUAUACAUGUACAUAUAUUGAAUUACAUACAUAUGCGUAUAACAGAGUACUAUUAUUAUAUAUAUACCACCUGUGCCAGAUUUAUAUAUCUUCAACCCAAAGUAAACACCAUAUACAAGAAAAGCUGAUGCCCCUGAUGGGCAGCAGCACAAAAUCAAUAGACAACUCUCAACAACGGAUAUCUUGGCUCUCAGAUCGAUGAAGAACGCAGCGAAAUGCGAUACGUAGUGUGAAUUGCAGAAAUGUGAAUCAUCGAAUCUUUGAACGCAAAUUGCGCUCAAGGCUUCGGCCAAGAGCAUGUCUGCCUCAGCAUCGAUGUACCCCCCUUCCAAUCUCUCUCUAUUCAUAGAGAGAGAGGAGAUCUGGCUGUCUCUAGUUCUAUCCAUAUCUUGAAGAGGAUGAAAUGUGCAUAUAUCAUAUAUCAUAUAUAUAUAUAAAUGUAUAUGUAUAGUAUUUGAGACUACAUUAUAGCCUCUGUACUAUGUUUUAUUAUAAAUAUAUAUAUAUAUAAUAUUUAACAUGUGAUAUGUGUUCCUCUUGAAUGUCCUCUUCUUGGGAUGUGUGAAGAGUCAGCUGAAAUGAAGCUGCUAAACCAUGGACCACCACAGAUGUGCGCCCGUACUGGGUAGGCAACAUUUGUUUGCUGAAAAUACUUUAGUACAAGUGGCGUGUAUAUCAUAUAUAUAUAUAUACAUCUUGUGUAUGGUUAUAUACAUACUGUAAGUGUUUGGCACUCAAACAGGAAAGAAUGUGAUAUAUAUCUAUAUCUAUAUCUAUAUCACAUCCGACCUGAGCUCAGGCAAGA
rnacentral:misc_RNA from 1 species